AACGCUAGCUACAGGCUUAACACAUGCAAGUCGAGGGGCAUCAGGGUAGCAAUACCGCUGGCGACCGGCGCACGGGUGAGUAACACGUAUCCAACCUACCGUUAACUCGGGGAUAGCCUUUCGAAAGAAAGAUUAAUACCCGAUAGUAUAUUUUCUUCGCAUGUUGAAAAUAUUAAAGAAUUUCGGUUAUCGAUGGGGAUGCGUUCCAUUAGGCAGUUGGCGGGGUAACGGCCCACCAAACCUACGAUGGAUAGGGGUUCUGAGAGGAAGGUCCCCCACAUUGGAACUGAGACACGGUCCAAACUCCUACGGGAGGCAGCAGUGAGGAAUAUUGGUCAAUGGACGAGAGUCUGAACCAGCCAAGUAGCGUGAAGGAUGACUGCCCUAUGGGUUGUAAACUUCUUUUAUAUGGGAAUAAAGUUCUCCACGUGUGGAGUCUUGUAUGUACCAUUAUGAAUAAGGACCGGCUAAUUCCGUGCCAGCAGCCGCGGUAAUACGGAAGGUCCGGGCGUUAUCCGGAUUUAUUGGGUUUAAAGGGAGCGUAGGCCGGAGAUUAAGCGUGUUGUGAAAUGUAGACGCUCAACGUCUGCACUGCAGCGCGAACUGGUUUCCUUGAGUACGCACAAAGUGGGCGGAAUUCGUGGUGUAGCGGUGAAAUGCUUAGAUAUCACGAAGAACUCCGAUUG
rnacentral:rRNA from 1 species